rnacentral:rRNA from 1 species
GAUGAACGCUAGCGGCAGGCCUAAUACAUGCAAGUCGAACGGUGUCUUCGGACAUAGUGGCGCACGGGUGCGUAACACGUAUGCAACCUACCUUACAUUGGGGGAUAGCCUUUCGAAAGGGAGAUUAAUACCGCAUAAGACAGUAGCUGGGCAUCCAGCAGCUGUUAAAGAUUUAUCGAUGUAAGCUGGGCAUGCGUCCAAUUAGCUAGUUGGUGAGGUAACGGCUCACCAAGGCAAUGAUUGGUAGGGGAACUGAGAGGUCAAUCCCCCACACUGGAACUGAGAUACGGGCCAGACUCCUACGGGAGGCAGCAGUAGGGAAUAUUGGGCAAUGGACGCAAGUCUGACCCAGCCAUGCCGCGUGCAGGAUGAAGGCGUUAUGCGUUGUAAACUGCUUUUAUACAGGGAGAAACGACUCUUGCGAGAGGCAUUGACGGUACUGUAUGAAUAAGCACCGGCUAACUCCGUGCCAGCAGCCGCCGUAACAC